CGUAGGCGGUUUUUCAAGUCGUAUGUGAAAACUUCAGGCUUAACCUGAUGAUUGCAUAUGAAACUGGAUAACUUGAGUACAGCAGAGGAAAGUGGAAUUCCUGGUGUAGCGGUGAAAUGUGCAGAUAUCAGGAAGAACACCAGUAGCGAAGGCGGCUUUCUGGGCUGUUACUGACGCUGAGGCGCGAAAGCUAGGGGAGCGAACA
rnacentral:rRNA from 1 species